rnacentral:misc_RNA from 1 species
GAUGAAGAACGUAGUGAACGUGCGAAACGUAAUGUGAAUUGCAGAAUUCAGUGAAUCAUCGAAUCUUUGAACGCAUCUUGCGCUCCUUGGUAUUCCGAGGAGCAUGCCUGUUUGAGUGUCGUGAAAUACUCUCAAUUUCAAUCUUUUUGUUUGAAAUUGGAUUUGGGCGUUGUCGUGAAUUCACGACUUGCCCUAAAUGCAUUAGCGAUCCCUGUCUUUGAUCACACAAUGUGAUAAUAAAAAAACAUUGUUACAGUCGAGUCAAGGUUGCUUCUAACUGUCUGUCACCAGACAACCAUUACAUGUCAUUUGACCUCAAAUCAGGUAGGACUACCCGCUGAACUUAAGCAUAUCAAUAAGCGGAGGA